rnacentral:rRNA from 1 species
GACGAACGCUGGCGGCGUGCUUAACACAUGCAAGUCGAACGGAAAGGCCCUGCUUUUGUGGGGUGCUCGAGUGGCGAACGGGUGAGUAACACGUGAGUAACCUGCCCUUGACUUUGGGAUAACUUCAGGAAACUGGGGCUAAUACCGGAUAGGAGCUCCUGCUGCAUGGUGGGGGUUGGAAAGUUUCGGCGGUUGGGGAUGGACUGGCGGCUUAUCAGCUUGUUGGUGGGGUAGUGGCUUACCAAGGCUUUGACGGGUAGCCGGCCUGAGAGGGUGACCGGCCACAUUGGGACUGAGAUACGGCCCAGACGCCUACGGGAGGCAGCAGUGGGGAAUAUUGCACAAUGGGCGGAAGCCUGAUGCAGCAACGCCGCGUGCGGGAUGACGGCCUUCGGGUUGUAAACCGCUUUCGCCUGUGACGAAGCGUGAGUGACGGUAAUGGGUAAAGAAGCACCGGCUAACUACGUG